UCUGGUGGUUAUAGCGAGAGUGAAACACCCGAUCCCAUCCCGAACUCGGCCGUGAAACCUCUUUGCGACGAUGGUACUUCGUCUUAAGGCGCGGGAGAGUAGUGCGCUGCCAGAU
rnacentral:rRNA from 1 species